GAGUUUGAUCCUGGCUCAGAUUGAACGCUGGCGGCAUGCCUUACACAUGCAAGUCGAACGGUAACAGGGAGCUUGCUCCGCUGACGAGUGGCGAACGGGUGAGUAAUAUAUCGGAACGUGCCCUGGAGUGGGGGAUAACUAGUCGAAAGAUUAGCUAAUACCGCAUACGAUCUACGGAUGAAAGUGGGGGCUUCGCAAGAACCUCAUGCUCCUGGAGCGGCCGAUAUCUGAUUAGCUAGUUGGCGAGGUAAAGGCUCACCAAGGCAUCGAUCAGUAGCUGGUCUGAGAGGACGACCAGCCACACUGGGACUGAGACACGGCCCAGACUCCUACGGGAGGCAGCAGUGGGGAAUUUUGGACAAUGGGCGCAAGCCUGAUCCAGCAAUGCCGCGUGAGUGAAGAAGGCCUUCGGGUUGUAAAGCUCUUUUGUCAGGGAAGAAACGGUCUUGGAUAAUACCUGGGGCUAAUGACGGUACCUGAAGAAUAAGCACCGGCUAACUACGUGCCAGCAGCCGCGGUAAUACGUAGGGUGCAAGCGUUAAUCGGAAUUACUGGGCGUAAAGCGUGCGCAGGCGGUUGUGUAAGACAGGUGUGAAAUCCCCGGGCUUAACCUGGGAAUGGCAUUUGUGACUGCACGGCUAGAGUGUGUCGGAGGGGGGUAGAAUUCCACGUGUAGCAGUGAAAUGCGUAGAGAUGUGGAGGAAUACCGAUGGCGAAGGCAGCCCCCUGGGAUAACACUGACGCUCAUGC
rnacentral:rRNA from 1 species